rfam:Aedes aegypti strain Liverpool supercont1.58 genomic scaffold, whole genome shotgun sequence.
UAAACGGCCCUUUUUAGGGCCACAAGUUAUUAAGAGAAAUUAGUUC